ACGCGAAGAACCUUACCUGGGCUUGACAUGGCGGUGGUAGGGAACCGAAAGGGGACCGCCUUCGGGAGCCGUCACAGGUGUUGCAUGGCUGUCGUCAGCUCGUGUCGUGAGAUGUUCGGUUAAGUCCGGUAACGAGCGCAACCCUCGUCGCCAGUUACACGCUGUCUGGCGAGACUGCCCGUAGAAAGCGGGAGGAAGGUGGGGAUGACGUCAAGUCAGCAUGGCCUUUAUGUCCAGGGCUACACACACGCUACAAUGGCCGGUACAAUGGGGCGCCAACCCGCGAGGGGGAGCCAAUCCCCCAAAGCCGGUUUCAGUUCGGAUUGCAGGUUGCAACCUNCCUGCAUGAAGUCGGAGNUGNUAGUAACUGCNGUC
rnacentral:rRNA from 1 species